GACGAACGCUGGCGGCGUGCUUAACACAUGCAAGUCGAACGGUGAAAGCGGAGCUUGCUCCGCUGGAUCAGUGGCGAACGGGUGAGUAACACGUGGGCAACCUGCCCCUCACUUCGGAAUAACUCCGGGAAACCGGGGCUAAUACCGGAUAUGACCUCCUUGGGCAUCCUUGGAGGUGGACAGUUUUUCGGUGAGGGAUGGGCCCGCGGCCUAUCAGCUUGUUGGUGUGGUAGUGGCUCACCAAGGCGACGACGGGUAGCCGGCCUGAGAGGGCGACCGGCCACACUGGGACUGAGACACGGCCCAGACUCCUACGGGAGGCAGCAGUGGGGAAUAUUGCGCAAUGGGCGAAAGCCUGACGCAGCAACGCCGCGUGCGGGAUGACGGCCUUCGGGUUGUAAACCGCUUUCAGCAGGGAAGAAGCCGCAAGGUGACGGUACCUGCAGAAGAAGCACCGGCUAACUACGUGCCAGCCGCCGCCGUAACAC
rnacentral:rRNA from 1 species